ACCCGGGAAAGUAAUUAAUAUCAAUAACAAAGUACCUAUUCCCAUCUCUACUAUCCCUAAUCAAAUCGAAGUUAAAAAGCCUAAGCCCCAUUGCCUCCCUCAACCCUUUGGCUAACUCCAUCACAAACUCCAAAGGUGGCAUUUCCGCCUUCUCCACGAGCUCAUCCACUUCAGAGCAACAAAAUCCCUUCCCUUUAUUUCUCGCAAUAACAGCCUUCUC